rnacentral:rRNA from 1 species
UACGGGGGGGGCAAGCGUUGUUCGGAAUUACUGGGCGUAAAGGGCUCGUAGGCGGCCAACUAAGUCCGACGUGAAAUCCCAAGGCUUAACCUUGGAACUGCGUCGGAUACUGGAUGGCUUGAGUUCGGGAGAGGGAUGCAGAAUUCCAGGUGUAGCGGUGAAAUGCGUAGAUAUCUGGAGGAAUACCGGUGGCGAAGGCGGCAUCCUGGACCGACAUUGACGCUGAUGAGCGAAAGCUAGGGGAGCAAACGGG